UGGGGAAUAUUGCACAAUGGGCGAAAGCCUGAUGCAGCGACGCCGCGUGAGGGAUGACGGCCUUCGGGUUGUAAACCUCUUUCAGCAGGGAAGAAGCGCAAGUGACGGUACCUGCAGAAGAAGCACCGGCUAACUACGUGCCAGCAGCCGCGGUAAUACGUAGGGUGCGAGCGUUGUCCGGAAUUAUUGGGCGUAAAGAGCUCGUAGGCGGUCUGUCACGUCGGAUGUGAAAGCCCGGGGCUUAACCCCGGGUCUGCAUUCGAUACGGGCAGACUAGAGUGUGGUAGGGGAGAUCGGAAUUCCUGGUGUAGCGGUGAAAUGCGCAGAUAUCAGGAGGAACACCGGUGGCGAAGGCGGAUCUCUGGGCCAUUACUGACGCUGAGGAGCGAAAGCGCGGGGAGCGAACAGGAUUAGAUACCCUGGUAGUCCACGCCGUAAACGUUGGGAACUAGGUGUUGGCGACAUUCCACGUCGUCGGUGCCGCAGCUAACGCAUUAAGUUCCCCGCCUGGGGAGUACGGCCGCAAGGCUAA
rnacentral:rRNA from 1 species